CUUCAUCAGGAUGAAGACUCUGCUGGUCCUCUCCGUUCUACUGUGUGCUGCAUUAGCAGCUCCAGCUGGAGACGAGCAGAAACCUUUAGAAACAGUAGUGGAGCUCCCUCAGGAAGACGCUGCUCUUGAAGCUGGUAGGUGUCGUCUUUAGAUUCCUGUUUUUACAUGGAAACUGCUCAUACUUCAGAGACUGGAAAGGCUUCAU